rnacentral:rRNA from 1 species
ACGCACGCUGGCUGCGUGCUUCACCCCUGCCAGUCGCACGGAAAGGCCCUGCUUUUGUGGGGUGCUCGAGUGGCGAACGGGUGAGUAACACGUGAGUAACCUGCCCUUGACUUUGGGAUAACUUCAGGAAACUGGGGCUAAUACCGGGUAGGAGCUCCUGCUGCAUGGUGGGGGUUGGAAAGUUUCGGCGGUUGGGGAUGGACUCGCGGCUUAUCAGCUUGUUGGUGGGGUAGUGGCUUACCAAGGCUUUGACGGGUAGCCGGCCUGAGAGGGUGACCGGCCACAUUGGGACUGAGAUACGGCCCAGACUCCUACGGGAGGCAGCAGUGGGGAAUAUUGCACAAUGGGCGGAAGCCUGAUGCAGCAACGCCGCGUGCGGGAUGACGGCCUUCGGGUUGUAAACCGCUUUCGCCUGUGACGAAGCGUGAGUGACGGUAAUGGGUAAAGAAGCACCGGCUAACUACGUG